rnacentral:rRNA from 1 species
AGUGAACGCUGGCGGUAGGCCUAACACAUGCAAGUCGAACGGCAGCACAGUAAGAGCUUGCUCUUACGGGUGGCGAGUGGCGGACGGGUGAGGAAUACAUCGGAAUCUACUUUUUCGUGGGGGACAACGUAGGGCAACUUACGCUAAUACCGCAUACGACCUACGGGUUAAAGCAGGGGAUCUUCGCACCUUGCGCGAUUGAAUGAGCCGAUGUCGGAUUAGCUAGUUGGCGGGGUAAAGGCCCACCAAGGCGACGAUCCGUAGCUGGUCUGAGAGGAUGAUCAGCCACACUGGAACUGAGACACGGUCCAGACUCCUACGGGAGGCAGCAGUGGGGAAUAUUGGACAAUGGGCGCAAGCCUGAUCCAGCCAUACCGCGUGGGUGAAGAAGGCCUUCGGGUUGUAAAGCCCUUUUGUUGGGAAAGAAAAGCAGCAGGUUAAUCCCCCGCUGUUCUGACGGUACCCAAAGAAUAAGCACCGGCUAACUUCGUG